rnacentral:rRNA from 1 species
GAUGAACGCUGGCGGCGUGCCUAAUACAUGCAAGUCGAGCGAACGGACGAGAAGCUUGCUUCUCUGAUGUUAGCGGCGGACGGGUGAGUAACACGUGGAUAACCUACCUAUAAGACUGGGAUAACUUCGGGAAACCGGAGCUAAUACCGGAUAAUAUUUUGAACCGCAUGGUUCAAAAGUGAAAGACGGUCUUGCUGUCACUUAUAGAUGGAUCCGCGCUGCAUUAGCUAGUUGGUAAGGUAACGGCUUACCAAGGCAACGAUGCAUAGCCGACCUGAGAGGGUGAUCGGCCACACUGGAACUGAGACACGGUCCAGACUCCUACGGGAGGCAGCAGUAGGGAAUCUUCCGCAAUGGGCGAAAGCCUGACGGAGCAACGCCGCGUGAGUGAUGAAGGUCUUCGGAUCGUAAAACUCUGUUAUUAGGGAAGAACAUAUGUGUAAGUAACUGUGCACAUCUUGACGGUACCUAAUCAGAAAGCCACGGCUAACUACGUGCCAGCAGCCGCGGUAAUACGUAGGUGGCAAGCGUUAUCCGGAAUUAUUGGGCGUAAAGCGCGCGUAGGCGGUUUUUUAAGUCUGAUGUGAAAGCCCACGGCUCAACCGUGGAGGGUCAUUGGAAACUGGAAAACUUGAGUGCAGAAGAGGAAAGUGGAAUUCCAUGUGUAGCGGUGAAAUGCGCAGAGAUAUGGAGGAACACCAGUGGCGAAGGCGACUUUCUGGCCUGUAACUGACGCCGAUGUGCGAAAGCGUGGGGAUCAAACAGGAUUAGAUACCCUGGUAGUCCACGCCGUAAACGAUGAGUGCUAAGUGUUAGGGGGUUUCCGCCCCUUAGUGCUGCAGCUAACGCAUUAAGCACUCCGCCUGGGGAGUACGACCGCAAGGUUGAAACUCAAAGGAAUUGACGGGGACCCGCACAAGCGGUGGAGCAUGUGGUUUAAUUCGAAGCAACGCGAAGAACCUUACCAAAUCUUGACAUCCUUUGACAACUCUAGAGAUAGAGCCUUCCCCUUCGGGGGACAAAGUGACAGGUGGUGCAUGGUUGUCGUCAGCUCGUGUCGUGAGAUGUUGGGUUAAGUCCCGCAACGAGCGCAACCCUUAAGCUUAGUUGCCAUCAUUAAGUUGGGCACUCUAAGUUGACUGCCGGUGACAAACCGGAGGAAGGUGGGGAUGACGUCAAAUCAUCAUGCCCCUUAUGAUUUGGGCUACACACGUGCUACAAUGGACAAUACAAAGGGCAGCGAAACCGCGAGGUCAAGCAAAUCCCAUAAAGUUGUUCUCAGUUCGGAUUGUAGUCUGCAACUCGACUACAUGAAGCUGGAAUCGCUAGUAAUCGUAGAUCAGCAUGCUACGGUGAAUACGUUCCCGGGUCU